UACGUAGGGCGCAAGCGUUGUCCGGAAUUAUUGGGCGUAAAGAGCUCGUAGGCGGUUUGUCGCGUCUGCUGUGAAAACCUAAGGCUCAACCUUGGGCUUGCAGUGGGUACGGGCAGACUAGAGUGCGGUAGGGGUGACUGGAAUUCCUGGUGUAGCGGUGGAAUGCGCAGAUAUCAGGAGGAACACCGGUGGCGAAGGCGGGUCUCUGGGCCGAUACUGACGCUGGAGGAGCGAAAGCGUGGGGAGCGAACAGG
rnacentral:rRNA from 1 species